UAGCUCAGUGGUAGAGCGAGUGCUUAGGAUGCACAAGGUCCUGGGUUCAACCCCCAG
rfam:Camelus ferus unplaced genomic scaffold scaffold576, whole genome shotgun sequence.